rnacentral:rRNA from 1 species
UACGUAGGGGGCAAGCGUUGUCCGGAAUUAUUGGGCGUAAAGAGCUCGUAGGCGGUCUGUCACGUCGGCUGUGAAAACCCGAGGCUCAACCUCGGGCCUGCAGUCGAUACGGGCAAACUAGAGUACUGCAGGGGAGACUGGAAUUCCUGGUGUAGCGGUGAAAUGCGCAGAUAUCAGGAGGAACACCGGUGGCGAAGGCGGUGUUCUGGGCCUGUACUGACGCUGAUGCGCGAAAGCGUGGGGAGCGAACAGG